rnacentral:rRNA from 1 species
AGAUUGAACGCUGGCGGCAUGCCUAACACAUGCAAGUCGAACGGGAGUAGCAAUACUCUAGUGGCGGACGGGUGAGGAAUACGUAGGAAUUUGCCCUUAAGUGGGGGAUAACCCGGGGAAACCCGGAUUAAUACCGCAUGACCUCGAAAGAGCAAAGUGGGGGAUCGCAAGACCUCACGCUUUUGGAGAAGCCUACGUCGGAUUAGCUAGUUGGUGAGGUAAUGGCUCACCAAGGCGACGAUCCGUAACUGGUCUGAGAGGAUGAUCAGUCACACCGGAACUGAGACACGGUCCGGACUCCUACGGGAGGCAGCAGUGGGGAAUAGUUGGACAAUGGGCGCAAGCCUGAUCCAGCAAUGCCGCGUGUGUGAAAGACGUCCGUU